rnacentral:rRNA from 2 species
CUACGGGAGGCAGCAGUAGGGAAUCUUCCACAAUGGGCGCAAGCCUGAUGGAGCAACACCCGCGUGAGUGAAGAAGGGUUUCGGCUCGUAAAGCUCUGUUGUUAAAGAAGAACACGUAUGAGAGUAACUGUUCAUACGUUGACGGUAUUUAACCAGAAAGUCACGGCUAACUACGUGCCAGCAGCCGCGGUAAUACGUAGGUGGCAAGCGUUAUCCGGAUUUAUUGGGCGUAAAGAGAGUGCAGGCGGUUUUCUAAGUCUGAUGUGAAAGCCUUCGGCUUAACCGGAGAAGUGCAUCGGAAACUGGAUAACUUGAGUGCAGAAGAGGGUAGUGGAACUCCAUGUGUAGCGGUGGAAUGCGUAGAUAUAUGGAAGAACACCAGUGGCGAAGGCGGCUACCUGGUCUGCAACUGACGCUGAGACUCGAAAGCAUGGGUAGCGAACAGGAUUAGAUACCCUGGUAGUCCAUGCCGUAAACGAUGAGUGCUAGGUGUUGGAGGGUUUCCGCCCUUCAGUGCCGGAGCUAACGCAUUAAGCACUCCGCCUGGGGAGUACGACCGCAAGGUUGAAACUCAAAGGAAUUGACGGGGGCCCGCACAAGCGGUGGAGCAUGUGGUUUAAUUCGAAGCUACGCGAAGAACCUUACCAGGUCUUGACAUCUUGCGCCAACCCUAGAGAUAGGGCGUUUCCUUCGGGAACGCAAUGACAGGUGGUGCAUGGUCGUCG